rnacentral:rRNA from 1 species
GGUCGUUGUUAUGGGCUAAGUUGUGAUCGGUUUGUAUUUAAAACGAUUUGUAUGAUAUAACUGUUUUCGAUUCUGUUCUAUGUUUCUGUUGGCGAUUCGUUUCUCGUUUUAGAUCAAAGUCGUCACGAUUGUAUGUGUCAAUUGUUUUUUUGUUUGUAAAACAAGUGUCUAGGUCCGAAUUUCCAUGUUGUGUAUAAAACGGUAAGUUUGUAUACUGGCUUCAAUUCUGUUCUAUGUUUCCGUCGACGAUUCUGGAUCAGGUUUAGAUCAACGUCGUCACGAGUUGGCUGGUCCACACAAUGUGUCAAAUGUUUUCUUGUUGGUAAUACGAGUUUAUGUCCGACUCCGACGUUGUGUGCUACGUUCUAAAUGUGGAAUUCGUGUUACUGUUGUGAUCUAUAUCGGAUCGGUCGAUCUCGAAGUUGUAACGAUCUCGUAGUUGUGGAGUUUCGAAAGCGGCCUCGUUUUUCCUAGUUAGUGGCAGGACUACAUCCUGGACGUUUUUUUAUUUUCUAAUUAUUGACUACAUAGUUGUCAAAGUACCGUAGAAUACAAACGUAGGUUAGUUGGAUACCGUUUAGGGAGUAGGGUCUAUGUAGCUUACCUUAUUCCCACUGUAGUGGUCUUCGUGUUCUACUCGCGUACCCCGUCUCUGUCGUUUUCAUUACCGUUGGUACACGACGCGAGUCGCGGAUCUAGGUUCGUCUUUGCUUAGACCACGUUUAGAUGAUACUUUUUAGUACACCGGUGUUCAUCCUCCUGUCCUAUUUACGUAGGUACCACUCUAGAUGCUCGGGGCGGUGUUUACCUCUGGUCAGGACAUCUUGUCUGCUGUCCCUCCCUUACCUACUUCUGUUCCGUUGUCACUGUGGUGUCGGCUUCUCAUUCCCUUAUUUCGUUUAUGGGUUAUUUUGGUUCGAGGACCUCUCUAGACCUCUCCUUCUUUAUCGAAGGUAAGUCUAGACCUGACACCUCGUAAAAGUUCUAAACGUCGUCGAUCGCAAGUUAUCCGUCGUCUAUUUUGAUUCACUGUCAUCUAGUUCUACGUCUCGAGGGAAGUUAGGUUUGUCGCCAGUCGGUCCCUAGCUUCGCCGAGGAGCCAGUACGUUUGGUGUUCGGAUAGAGGAGCGAAAGUCUCUAUCCUAUCACCCUUGGUACUUGUUCGUCGACGUGUUUGGGAAGCCAUCUGGGAAGUAACCUUACUAUCCUCGAGGUGGAGUUUUGGUUUAGGUUUUGUUUGGUGUGUCUAGUUUCUUUUGGUUCGUUUUGUUCUAGACACGACACCAAGUGUUCGCCUUUGGUUCUUGUUUCUCGUGCUGGUAGGUACCUCCUAUACGACCGUUCUUGAACCAUCUGUUAUCCGGUGUAGAUACCCCGAUC